rnacentral:rRNA from 1 species
AAUGGCCUAAGGGCUGAACCAGUAACUUGAAAGAAUGUACAAUGAAUAACUUAUUUAAAGUUCUAGACAUAAAAGGAAUAAUGACUAUUUUUUGUCUAUAAGUAUUGACCAAAUUACGUGCCAGCCGUCGCGGUAAUACGUAAAAUACAAGUGUUAUUCAUCUUUAAUGGGUUUAAAGGGUACCUAGACAGAAAAUCAAGCCAUAAUAGGGACUAAUUUUCUAGAGUUUUAUAUAAGAAAAAAGAAUUGUUAGAGGAGAGAUGAAAUUCAUUGAUACUAACAAGACUGGGAACAGCGAAGGCAUUUUUCUAGGUAAAAACUGACGUCGAGGGACGAAGCCUAGGGUAACGAAAAGGAUUAGAUACCCUAAUAGUCCUAGGAGAAAAUUAUGAAUGCCAUAGGCUAGAUCUUUUGGCCUAUAAAUGAAAGUGUAAGCAUUUCACCUUACAAGUAAAGCGGCAACGCCGAAACUGAAAUCAUUAGACCGUUACUGAAAACAGUAGUGAAGUAUGUUAUUUAAUUCGAUGGUCCGCGAAUAACCUUACCACAAUUUGAAUAUUAUUAAAUUAUUACAAGUGCUGCACGGCUGUCUUCAGCUUGUGUCGUGAGAUUUUGGUUAGAUCCAUUAAUAAGCGAAAACCCUUACUUUAUUUAAUUUAAUUUUUAAGUAAUAAACCUCUUUUUUUAUUAAUUUAAAAUUCGUUAAUAGAGUAGUUCGCCACUAUAUUGGUAUGAUAAAAGGGAUUAAGACAAGUCAUCAUGGCCUUAAUAUUGUGGGCUAUAGACGUGCCACAUCUGCCUUUACAAAGGGAUGC